GACAUCAAAAGGAAUGUAUAAUGAAAUCCCAAAUAAAUUUUACAUCAAGAAAUUAAAAUAAACAUAACAUUAUUACAAGGUAGAAAAAGCAAAUACACUCGUAGGGAAAUUGGCGUCACUUGUUAGAAACAAGCAUCCAAGACACAACAGCAACACAAGGCGGCACAGCAUCCUUUCCAAAAUCCAUCGCCUCUGGAUUGAGUAGUAAGUGGAACAGAUGAAUGGGAUUGUACAUCUCUAGUUGGAUAACCAGCUGGUGGUGGUGGUGCCACAAAAGCACUUGCCUGCUGCUGUGCCUGUGAUGAUCCUGAUUCAGCCUGCUUUUGGUUGUAGCUAUUCAUCUUCAAGAUGUAGAUCGAUAUCAAACUUUUCAAAUUAAUUAAAUAUGUAAAUAUUGUUGA
rnacentral:misc_RNA from 1 species